rnacentral:lncRNA from 1 species
CUAACUUAGCUAAUUAUGUCAUUUAGGUGGAACCCUAGCUAACUAUAGGUCGUUUUAGAGCUAACUUGGGUAAAAUAGGUCAUUCCGGAGCAAACUAUGCUUAUUAAGCCAUUUUUGAUCUAGCUAGGCUAAUUAUAGGCCAUUUAAUACCUAAGUUAGGGGGAAUAGGUCAUGUUGCAGCUAUGUAAGCCUUAUUAUGUC